CAGCACCUCAAGUGGUCAGGAUGAUUAUUGGGCCUAAAGCAUCCGUAGCCGGCUCUGUAAGUUUUCGGUUAAAUCUGUACGCUCAACGUACAGGCUGCCGGGAAUACUGCAGCGCUAGGGAGUGGGAGAGGUAGACGGUACUCGGUAGGAAGGGGUAAAAUCCUUUGAUCUAUUGAUGACCACCUGUGGCGAAGGCGGUCUACCAGAACACGUCCGACGGUGAGGGAUGAAAGCUGGGGGAGCAAACCGGAUUAGAGACCCGAGUAGUCC
rnacentral:rRNA from 1 species